rnacentral:rRNA from 1 species
UACGUAGGGUGCAAGCGUUAAUCGGAAUUACUGGGCGUAAAGCGUGCGCAGGCGGCUUUGCAAGACAGAUGUGAAAUCCCCGGGCUUAACCUGGGAACUGCAUUGGUGACUGCAUCGCUCGAGUAUGGCAGAGGGGGGUAGAAUUCCACGUGUAGCAGUGAAAUGCGUAGAGAUGUGGAGGAAUACCGAUGGCGAAGGCAGCCCCCUGGGUCAAUACUGACGCUCAUGCACGAAAGCGUGGGGAGCAAACAGG